GCCAAAUAGGCUGAGGCUCUGCAGGUGGCGCGGCCGCCUCCAGUGCCUUACAUGUGCUAAAGUAAGAGCUAAACUACAGGUACCUCCUUUGCCCUAAACAGUAAGACAAACAACCCAAUAAAUCAGUAAGCAAAAGGCUUUGCUUCCUCCUCCUGACUGGAAAAAUGACUGAUUCCUGAGCCUCACACCAGACUUGUCAUAGCAUGGCCUGUGUCCUGCCUUUCCUUAAUCCAGCCAAAGAAAUCUCACAGAAAGGCUAAAAUUGUUUCCUUGUGAGCCCAUCUCCAUCCUUAGACCAGUCUACUGUGGCCACCAGCAUGGGUUACUGUGACCUCCCAGAACAGAGUUGACCUCCAGAAGGGAGCGGGUUCUCAAAAGAAGAAUAGACAUUAAGUAGGACAGAUGUUGUUACAGAUACCAUGAGAGUGAGAUAGAUAAGAGAUGAAGGUAAAUCCAUGUGUCUGGCAUGCUGGCCCUCUGAUAAAAUGUAACCUCUCAGCCUUCAUCACCUACAGACCCAGAGGUGAGGCUUAGCAGUGCUCUAGCUAGAGCUCCAGCCAGUUCAGCAAGGGGUUGGAGGAGACAUCAGAGAAAUCUUGGGUCCCGUAUCUUGACAGGACACUCAGCUUGUGCCACAAGGGCAGUCCUGUGAGAGCAGUGGGAACAUGUAAAUAUAUGCCAACAUAUGGCAGGGAUUGGAAAGGGCAUGGAUGAGAACAUGCCUGUACACACUGACAUGUGGCCAUGCAAGAUAAUCUCUGCUUGUGAACAUGCACUUACAUGUCAGCAUGUGACCAUGCUUUAAAACUGCAUGUAUGUGAAUGUAUGCAUACAGGUUGAGCAAUGACAGAACUAGAAAAUGCAUGUGUGUAUGUGAACCAGUGAACACAUUCGUACUAUGAUAGACCUAGGAAAUACAGGUACAUGUGGACCUGCACAUAUCUACUUAUCUAUUACAAGCUGGGAAACACAUGUAUUUUUAAAAUUGCACAUAUAUGCUAGAGAGCUAGUGAAUACAUGUUAGAAAUUAGAAUGAGGAGUUUGGGUUAAUUUACUGUUAAGGGGUUAGAGGUUAAGUUUAGGUUUAGGUUUAGGGUGCAAGAUUAGGAUUUGUGAGCCGGGUGGUGUUGGUGUUGGUGUUUGUGGUGCACGCUUUUAAUCCCAGCACUUGGGAGGCAGAUGCAGGUGAAUCUCAGUGAGUUUGAGGCCAGCCUGGUUUACAAAGUGAGUUACAGGACAGCUGGGACUGUUAUACAGAGAAACUCUGUCUUUAAAAAAGCAUAAAAAGAUUAGGAUUUGUACAGUAGGUUAGUGUUAGGAUCAGGGUCACAAUUAUGCUUACCCUGAAUUUUUGGGUUCUAAUCAUUUUAAAAUGUAGGAUUAGGUUUAGAGUUAUAUUAGGUUUAGAGUUAGAGUUAAGGAUGGGGUUUGUGUUGUGUAACAAUAAAUCUUUCCGCCAGCCAACAGAGCCCCGCCGCCACGUGGGUGCCCAAAAUAACACACAGAGAUUAAUAUUAGGCACAG